rnacentral:misc_RNA from 1 species
GUGAAUCAUCAAAUUUUUGAACGCAAAUUGCACUGUCUGGUAUUCCGGAAAGUAUGCCUGUUUGAGGGUCAGUUAAAUUAAAAUCGGAGUGGUGGCUACUCGGAGUGGUGUGUGAGGGGGCGGAAUGGAGUCGUUCUUUACCUUUGGUUUAAGUGAGUUAAAAUUAGGUUCGAUUUGGGAACGGAUUU